UACGUAGGUGGCGAGCGUUGUCCGGAUUUACUGGGCGUAAAGAGCGCGCAGGCGGUCGUGCAAGUCGCGUGGGAAAGCCCCCGGCUCAACUGGGGAGGGUCACGCGAUACUGCUCGACUUGAAGGCAGGAGAGGGAAGUGGAAUUCCCGGUGUAGUGGUGAAAUGCGUAGAUAUCGGGAGGAACACCAGUGGCGAAGGCGACUUCCUGGCCUGUUCUUGACGCUGAGGCGCGAAAGCUAGGGUAGCAAACGGG
rnacentral:rRNA from 1 species